rnacentral:rRNA from 1 species
UACGUAGGGCGCAAGCGUUAUCCGGAAUUAUUGGGCGUAAAGAGCUCGUAGGCGGUUUGUCGCGUCUGCCCGUGAAAGUCCGGGGCUCAACUCCGGAUCUGCGGUGGGUACGGGCAGACUAGAGUGAUGUAGGGGAGACUGGAAUUCCUGGUGUAGCGGUGAAAUGCGCAGAUAUCAGGAGGAACACCGAUGGCGAAGGCAGGUCUCGUGGGCAUUAACUGACGCUGAGGCGCGAAAGCAUGGGGAGCGAACGGGG